CUCGUAGGCGGUUUGUCGCGUCUGGUGUGAAAACCUCAGGCUCAACCUGGGGCGUGCAUCGGGUACGGGCAGACUAGAGUGCGGUAGGGGAGACUGGAAUUCCUGGUGUAGCGGUGGAAUGCGCAGAUAUCAGGAGGAACACCGAUGGCGAAGGCAGGUCUCUGGGCCGCAACUGACGCUGAGGAGCGAAAGCAUGGGGAGCGAACA
rnacentral:rRNA from 1 species